CUCUCUCUAUAUUGGUCUCUCUCACUCACUCCACAGUACACGGUCCAUUGCUGUCUUCAAACUUUACUCGAACCACAAGCACAAGGGUGCUCUUUUCUACUCCAUACCUUGUUGUUUUGUUUCUUUUGGAGUCUUUUGGGCCGGGGCCGGGGGUCAUGUGUGGUGUGGUGAUGGUAGUGUAUGGAGAAAUGAAACAUACAGGCAACAGUGAAAGAGAGAGGGAAAAGAGGAACAAAGACAAUGAUGGAAGGAGAGUUAGGGGACAAAGGAGGAAGCCUUUUAUCCCCACCUCUCUCUCUCCNNNNNNNNNNNNNNNNNNNNACAACACUCUUUCUCUCUCAUCACUUGGUGGGAAUGUCAGUCCACACUCGACACCUUCUCCUUCCUACCACUGUUGAGGAAUCAUCGAUCCAAACGAACCCCAUUUCUUGUGGGGUGUGGUCCAUCACCUCAUCACCCCAUACCUCUUUCUUUCCCCACGCUACCAUAUAAGAGAACACCACGCCAUUUAGUAACAUACACAAGAGAUAUAUAUAUUAUAUAUAAUAUGCAUACUAGCUAUAUUUAAUUAAAGAAAAACAACAUGGGGAAAGAUUUAGAAUGGUCUGGUGGGAGGUGAUCUGGUGCAAGAAGUGAGAGGAAUGCGGGGCAGAGAAAGAAAGAGGUAGCAAGGCAGCUCUAAAACAGAGAAAAAAAAAUAAAAGAAAAAGGGAGA
rnacentral:lncRNA from 1 species